GAUGAAAAUYAGCCCUUUACGGUGAAAACCUGGGAUACUCUUGCUUGAACAAGACAUAUGUGGAACUUAGCCCUGUUGAGGAUGCUGGCAAUAAACCUUCAAGGCACUGUGGCCAGUAGCUCUUGAGAACAGCUUGUCUGGUUCAACCGGGAAAAUCCUCUUUACCUGGAGGCCAUUUCACACUUUGAACAACUCCCAUCAGGUUGGAAAUACCAGUUCUAAUGCAUUUUGAGUUGGAAGACA
rnacentral:lncRNA from 1 species